AGUAAUGAUAAGAGAAAAGAUCACAUAGCGUGCAAUUGAAAGAAGGGCUUAAGACAAGAUUGUGCUAAAUCAACUAUCGAAUAGAACCUUCGUCCGGUUCACCGGUCGGUAAGCGAACUUCAAGAUUUGAAUAAUUUGCUUUUCUCAUCCACAAAUAAGAGUUAAUUAACCUAGUGAAGCCUAGAAGGAUUCUCUUGAGUCAUUGUAUAUGAAUAAAGAAAUAAGUAGUUUAAAUAGUACGAAAACCCCCGGCCCGGAUGAGUUCGGCAUAGCUCAUACAUUAAGCAAGUUUUAGGAAGAUUGCCAUGUGCUCAUAGAUCGUCAUUACUCGGUGACGGAUCUCCGAUCUUUUAUCGGAAAGGCUCCGGGCGCUACUGUCUCUAUUUCUGUUACCCAUGUUCACAUUGGUGCUUCUUCCGACUCAGCCUCUGUCCCGACCUCCGAGUCUCGGUCUCCAAGAAGCGGAGGGCUAAGCCACGGGAACUUGAAGUGCUUUAACAAGAUCCAAUGGUGCUGGUUCACUAGCGUCAUCAGCUGGCUCUGCAACUUUCACUUCCAACCGGAUACCCAGC
rnacentral:lncRNA from 1 species